CAGAGAGGUUUCCUCAAUCUUGCAGAGAAAAUGCACAGGAAAGACAGAGGCAUCACAGAGCUGGGGACUAAGGCAGCCAGUUGGGUCUAAAACAAAUCUCAAGAUCCUAUUCAGAUUGAAGAAGGAAUCAAACAGGGCUAUGUGAAUGGCAACUGGAGGCAACCUUGUCCUCAGACUCCUGUACCUGCUGAUGACAUCUGGGACCUGUCUCACUUUAUCACAAGGCCAUGGCCAUCUGGAGCACUGUUUGUUUCAGCGAUUAGCUGUGACUUAGCUGGAGUUGGCUUUAAUCUCUGUGGUUCUGUCGACAGCAGAGAGGUGGUUUGUGAAGGGAGCUCUGGAAUCAGAUGUAGAUUCAAGACCUGGAAAGAUACUGCUGUGGGACUACCUUGCAGCUAUAACCUAGGAAGAUCACUAUAUAAAUAUUUUUAGAAGGAUCAAAAGAGUUGAAAAUUAUAUGCCAGACACAGAAUAAACAAACUAUUUGUGGGCCCUCA